rnacentral:rRNA from 1 species
GUCGUACUGAGCUUAGAGUUUGAUCCUGGCUCAGGACGAACGCUGGCGGCGGGCCUAACACAUGCAAGUCGAAGGGGAAGGAAGCUUUCGGGCUUCUGGAGACUGGCGCACGGGUGAGUAACGCGUAGGCAACCUGUCUUCAACUGGGGGAUAACCCGCCGAAAGGCGGGCUAAUACCGCAUGGAGCUGUGUUCUCGCAUGAGGGCAUGGUCAAAGGUUUUCGGACUGGUUGAAGGUGGGCCUGCGUGACAUUAGUUAGUUGGUGAGGUAGAGGCUCACCAAGGCGAUGAUGUCUAGGGGGUCUGAGAGGAUGAUCCCCCACACGGGGACUGAGACACGGCCCCGACUCCUACGGGAGGCAGCAGUGAGGAAUCUUGCGCAAUGGAGGCAACUCUGACGCAGCCACGCCGCGUGCAGGAAGACGGUUCUCUGAAUUGUAAACUGCUUUUGCCAGGGAAGAGUGCCUGGGUUUCGACCUGGGAGAGACGGUAUCUGGUGAAUAAGCACCGGCUAACUCCGUGCCAGCAGCCGCGGUAAUACGGAGGGUGCAAGCGUUGUCCGGAAUCAUUGGGUGUAAAGGGUGCGUAGGCGGGCUUGUAAGUCUGGGGUGAAAGGCAGUGGCUCAACCAUUGGAUUGCCCUGGAUACUGCGAGUCUUGAGUCUCGGAGAGGUCGAUGGAAUUGGUGGUGUAGCGGUGAAAUGCAUAGAGAUCACCAAGAACACCGGUGGGGAAGCCGGUCGGCUGGACGAGUACUGACGCUCAGGCACGAGAGCGUGGGGAGCCAACAGGAUUAGAUACCCUGGUAGUCCACGCUGUAAACGAUGCAUGCUAGGUGUUGGCCUUAUGGGGUCGGUACUGUAGUUAACGCGCUAAGCAUGCCACCUGGGGAGUACGUCGGCAACGAUGAAACUCAAAGGAAUUGACGGGGGCCCGCACAAGCGGUGGAGCAUGUGGCUUAAUUCGAUGCAACGCGAAGAACCUUACCCGGGCUAAAUUCAUGGUGGCCGAUCCAGAGAUGGGUCUUUCCGUUUACGGACGCUAUGGAAGGUGCUGCAUGGCUGUCGUCAGCUCGUGCCGUGAGGUGUUGGGUUAAGUCCCGCAACGAGCGCAACCCCUAUGGUCAGUUACCAGCACGUUAAGGUGGGGACUCUGGCCAGACUGCCCGCGCAAGCGGUGAGGAAGGUGGGGACGACGUCAAGUCAUCAUGGCCCUUACGUCCGGGGCUGCACACGUGCUACAAUGGGACUGACAACGGGGAGCGACCCAGCGAUGGGCAGCGAAUCCUGAAACGGUCUCCCAGUUCGGAUUGCAGGCUGCAACUCGCCUGCAUGAAGGUGGAAUCGCUAGUAAUCGCGGAUCAGCUACGCCGCGGUGAAUACGUUCCCGGGCCUUGUACACACCGCCCGUCAAGCGAUGGAAGUCAGGAGUACCUGACCUGGCUGGGCUAACUUUCGAGGAGCAGGUCAGUAGGGUAAGUCUGAUAACUGGCGCUAAGUCGUAACAAGGUAACCAAGCCGUAGAG